rnacentral:rRNA from 1 species
UUAAGCGACUAAGCGUACACGGUGGAUGCCCUGGCAGUCAGAGGCGAUGAAGGACGUGCUAAUCUGCGAUAAGCGCCGGUAAGGUGAUAUGAACCGUUAUAACCGGCGAUUUCCGAAUGGGGAAACCCAGUGUGACUCGUCACACUAUCAUUAACUGAAUCCAUAGGUUAAUGAGGCGAACCGGGGGAACUGAAACAUCUAAGUACCCCGAGGAAAAGAAAUCAACCGAGAUUCCCCCAGUAGCGGCGAGCGAACGGGGAGGAGCCCAGAGCCUGAAUCAGCAUGUGUGUUAGUGGAAGCGUCUGGAAAGGCGCGCGAUACAGGGUGACAGCCCCGUACACAAAAGCGCAUGUGCUGUGAGCUCGAUGAGUAGGGCGGGACACGUGGUAUCCUGUCUGAAUAUGGGGGGACCAUCCUCCAAGGCUAAAUACUCCUGACUGACCGAUAGUGAACCAGUACCGUGAGGGAAAGGCGAAAAGAACCCCGGCGAGGGGAGUGAAAAAGAACCUGAAACCGUGUACGUACAAGCAGUGGGAGCACAGGUUUACCUGUGUGACUGCGUACCUUUUGUAUAAUGGGUCAGCGACUUAUAUUCUGUAGCAAGGUUAACCGUAUAGGGGAGCCGGAGGGAAACCGAGUCUUAAUUGGGCGUUAAGUUGCAGGGUAUAGACCCGAAACCCGGUGAUCUAGCCAUGGGCAGGUUGAAGGUUGGGUAACACUAACUGGAGGACCGAACCGACUAAUGUUGAAAAAUUAGCGGAUGACCUGUGGCUGGGGGUGAAAGGCCAAUCAAACCGGGAGAUAGCUGGUUCUCCCCGAAAGCUAUUUAGGUAGCGCCUCGUGAAUUCAUCUCCGGGGGUAGAGCACUGUUUCGGCUAGGGGGCCAUCCCGGCUUACCAACCCGAUGCAAACUGCGAAUACCGGAGAAUGUUAUCACGGGAGACACACGGCGGGUGCUAACGUCCGUCGUGAAGAGGGAAACAACCCAGACCGCCAGCUAAGGUCCCAAAGUCAUGGUUAAGUGGGAAACGAUGUGGGAAGGCCCAGACAGCCAGGAUGUUGGCUUAGAAGCAGCCAUCAUUUAAAGAAAGCGUAAUAGCUCACUGGUCGAGUCGGCCUGCGCGGAAGAUGUAACGGGGCUAAACCAUGCACCGAAGCUGCGGCAGCGACGCUUAUGCGUUGUUGGGUAGGGGAGCGUUCUGUAAGCCUGUGAAGGUGGCCUGUGAGGGUUGCUGGAGGUAUCAGAAGUGCGAAUGCUGACAUAAGUAACGAUAAAGCGGGUGAAAAGCCCGCUCGCCGGAAGACCAAGGGUUCCUGUCCAACGUUAAUCGGGGCAGGGUGAGUCGACCCCUAAGGCGAGGCCGAAAGGCGUAGUCGAUGGGAAACGGGUUAAUAUUCCCGUACUUGGUGUUACUGCGAAGGGGGGACGGAGAAGGCUAUGUUGGCCGGGCGACGGUUGUCCCGGUUUAAGCGUGUAGGUGUGUGUUCCAGGUAAAUCCGGUUCACUUUAACACUGAGGCGUGAUGACGAGGCACUACGGUGCUGAAGCAACAAAUGCCCUGCUUCCAGGAAAAGCCUCUAAGCAUCAGGUAACAUCAAAUCGUACCCCAAACCGACACAGGUGGUCAGGUAGAGAAUACCAAGGCGCUUGAGAGAACUCGGGUGAAGGAACUAGGCAAAAUGGUGCCGUAACUUCGGGAGAAGGCACGCUGACACGUAGGUGAAGUGAUUUACUCACGGAGCUGAAGUCAGUCGAAGAUACCAGCUGGCUGCAACUGUUUAUUAAAAACACAGCACUGUGCAAACACGAAAGUGGACGUAUACGGUGUGACGCCUGCCCGGUGCCGGAAGGUUAAUUGAUGGGGUCAGCGCAAGCGAAGCUCCUGAUCGAAGCCCCGGUAAACGGCGGCCGUAACUAUAACGGUCCUAAGGUAGCGAAAUUCCUUGUCGGGUAAGUUCCGACCUGCACGAAUGGCGUAAUGAUGGCCAGGCUGUCUCCACCCGAGACUCAGUGAAAUUGAACUCGCUGUGAAGAUGCAGUGUACCCGCGGCAAGACGGAAAGACCCCGUGAACCUUUACUAUAGCUUGACACUGAACAUUGAGCCUUGAUGUGUAGGAUAGGUGGGAGGCUUUGAAGUGUGGACGCCAGUCUGCAUGGAGCCGACCUUGAAAUACCACCCUUUAAUGUUUGAUGUUCUAACGUGGACCCGUUACCCGGGUUGCGGACAGUGUCUGGUGGGUAGUUUGACUGGGGCGGUCUCCUCCUAAAGAGUAACGGAGGAGCACGAAGGUUGGCUAAUCCUGGUCGGACAUCAGGAGGUUAGUGCAAUGGCAUAAGCCAGCUUGACUGCGAGCGUGACGGCGCGAGCAGGUGCGAAAGCAGGUCAUAGUGAUCCGGUGGUUCUGAAUGGAAGGGCCAUCGCUCAACGGAUAAAAGGUACUCCGGGGAUAACAGGCUGAUACCGCCCAAGAGUUCAUAUCGACGGCGGUGUUUGGCACCUCGAUGUCGGCUCAUCACAUCCUGGGGCUGAAGUAGGUCCCAAGGGUAUGGCUGUUCGCCAUUUAAAGUGGUACGCGAGCUGGGUUUAGAACGUCGUGAGACAGUUCGGUCCCUAUCUGCCGUGGGCGCUGGAGAACUGAGGGGGGCUGCUCCUAGUACGAGAGGACCGGAGUGGACGCAUCACUGGUGUUCGGGUUGUCAUGCCAAUGGCACUGCCCGGUAGCUAAAUGCGGAAGAGAUAAGUGCUGAAAGCAUCUAAGCACGAAACUUGCCCCGAGAUGAGUUCUCCCUGAGACUUUAAGUCUCCUGAAGGAACGUUGAAGACGACGACGUUGAUAGGCCGGGUGUGUAAGCGCAGCGAUGCGUUGAGCUAACCGGUACUAAUGAACCGUGAGGCUUAACCUU